AGAGUUUGAUCCUGGCUCAGGAUGAACGCUAGCGGCAGGCCUAAUACAUGCAAGUCGUGCGAGAAAGGGCUUCGGCCCCAGUAAAGCGGCGCACGGGUGAGUAACACGUAGGUAAUCUUCCCCUGGAGUGGUGGAUAACCCUCCGNAAAGGAGGGCUAAUACAGCAUGAGACCACGAUCUCGCUGAGAUUGCGGUCAAAGCAGGCCUCUUCAUGAAAGCUUGCGCUCUAGGAUGAGCCUGCGGCCCAUCAGCUAGUUGGUAAGGUAACGGCUUACCAAGGCUAAGACGGGUAGCUGGUCUGAGAGGAUGAGCAGCCACACUGGAACUGAAACACGGUCCAGACUCCUACGGGAGGCAGCAGUAGGGAAUCUUGCGCAAUGGACGAAAGUCUGACGCAGCGACGCCGCGUGAGCGAUGAAGGCCUUCGGGUUGUAAAGCUCUGUGGGGAGAGACGAAUAAGGCAUGGCUAACAUCCAUGUCGAUGACGGUAUCUCCUUAGCAAGCACCGGCUAACUCUGUGCCAGCAGCCGCGGUAAGACAGAGGGUGCGAACGUUGUUCGGAAUUACUGGGCGUAAAGCGCGUGUAGGCGGCAAUGCAAGUCGGGCGUGAAAUCCCACGGCUCAACCGUGGAAGUGCACUCGAAACUGCAUAGCUAGAGUCCUGGAGAGGAAGGUGGAAUGCUUGGUGUANAGGUGAAAUUCGUAGAUAUCA
rnacentral:rRNA from 1 species